UGGGGAAUUUUGGACAAUGGGGGCAACCCUGAUCCAGCCAUUCCGCGUGAGUGAAGAAGGCCUUCGGGUUGUAAAGCUCUUUUGUCCGGAACGAAACGGUUAGCGUGAAUAUCGCUGACUACUGACGGUACCGGAAGAGUAAGCCACGGCUAACCCUGUGCCAGCAGCCGCGGUAAUACAGGGGGGGCAAGCGUUGUUCGGAAUUACUGGGCGUAAAGGGCGCGUAGGCGGCCUGUUAAGUCGAACGUGAAAUCCCCGGGCUCAACCCGGGAACUGCGUCCGAGACUGAUAGGCUCGAAUCCGGGAGAGGGAUGUGGAAUUCCAGGUGUAGCGGUGAAAUGCGUAGAUAUCUGGAGGAACACCGGUGGCGAAGGCGACAUCCUGGACCGGUAUUGACGCUGAGGCGCGAAAGCCAGGGGAGCAAA
rnacentral:rRNA from 1 species